GCAACAAAAAUCUGGCAGGGAAAUCUGCCAGUCUGCCACAUACAGCCAUAAGGGCCUCACGACAUACGUCCAUAUUUGUGAGAGUGGAUUCGAUUCUCAAGGAAAGAAUAAGUACUGUUUCGUUAGUGAUGGAAUUUGUUGCACCCUUCCUUCUCCUUCUGUGAGUUUUCUCCGACUCCUGUUGAAGCGUACACACUUAAAAUCAGUGACCAGUUCUCAACAAGUGGUUAAUUUCUACUCAGCUAGUGGAGCGAUAGGAGUGUGUUAUGAUAUUGAAAACGAGGCCAUUCAAAGUUGCAGUUGGUGCAGACAAGUAUAAUGUGUUGAAACAACUUUCUGUCGAGCAAACUGCCCAUGCACAGCCAACAAUAAAUGGAUGCACUCAAUGUACUGUUGGAUUUAAGCCCAGAGACUGCUGUCAAUGCGAUGAUGGCUUCUUUUACAAUCAGGGACUUUGUGGUCAACCUGAUUGUAAACUCAAUGUGAUGAAGUGUGUCGAUGGAGAGUGUAAGUGUAAACCUGGAUACUUAUCUCACAACUGCUGUGAUUGUGCCCCUGGCUAUUACAAGGAUAAAGAAGACGGAAAGUGCAAAUGAAAGAUUUAA